rnacentral:rRNA from 1 species
UGCAAGUCGAGCGGAUGAAGGGAGCUUGCUCCUGGAUUCAGCGGCGGACGGGUGAGUAAUGCCUAGGAAUCUGCCUGGUAGUGGGGGAUAACGUCCGGAAACGGGCGCUAAUACCGCAUACGUCCUGAGGGAGAAAGUGGGGGAUCUUCGGACCUCACGCUAUCAGAUGAGCCUAGGUCGGAUUAGCUAGUUGGUGGGGUAAAGGCCUACCAAGGCGACGAUCCGUAACUGGUCUGAGAGGAUGAUCAGUCACACUGGAACUGAGACACGGUCCAGACUCCUACGGGAGGCAGCAGUGGGGAAUAUUGGACAAUGGGCGAAAGCCUGAUCCAGCCAUGCCGCGUGUGUGAAGAAGGUCUUCGGAUUGUAAAGCACUUUAAGUUGGGAGGAAGGGCAGUAAGUUAAUACCUUGCUGUUUUGACGUUACCAACAGAAUAAGCACCGGCUAACUACGUGCCCCAGCAGCCAG